rnacentral:rRNA from 1 species
AUGGCUGUCGUCAGCUCGUGUCGUGAGAUGUUGGGUUAAGUCCCUUAACGAGCGAAACCCUUGCCGUUAGUUACCAGCGGGUCAUGCCGGGAACUCUAGCGGGACUGCCGGUGUUAAACCGGAGGAAGGUGGGGAUGACGUCAAGUCAUCAUGGCCUUUAUGCCUAGGGCAUCACACGUGCUACAAUGGCCGGGACAAAGCGACGCAAGACCGCGAGGUGGAGCUAAUCGCAAAAACCCGGCCCCAGUUCGGAUUGCAGGCUGGCAACUCGCCUGCAUGAAGUUGGAAUCGCUAGUAAUCGUGAAUCAGCUAUGUCACGGUGAAUGUGUUCCUGAGUCUU